UGACAACCUCUUCUAUUCUGUUUCAGAUCACAAUUGAGAACUAUAUUUGUUACUCAGACUGGCUGUUCUUCAUGGGGUGAGGCAGAGGAUGCAUAUCCGGAGUAUGCAGAAAAUUUGGAAAAAUUCAAAGACAAAAAGAUCAAUGGAAAAUUAAUACCUCAACACCUCGUUGACUACUGUGUGGCAGCCAAGGAAUAUAGGGACAUCCAGUUGACAGCUGCAAAUAUUUCGGUCCA